rnacentral:lncRNA from 1 species
GGGUGGAGGUCACAGGGAAAAAUCAAUGUAGGGCUAACAUUGAAGUUAACCCUACAGAAGAAUGUCAAGCCACUAUCUUUGAAAGUCAUAAGGUUGUUGAGGAGGAAAAGAUAGAGAAAGAUGUAGAGGAAAAAGAAACAGAAAAGUUGAGUGAGGGAGAGAAAGAUGAGGAGAAAGAAAAAGAAGUGGUUGAGAAAAAAGAAAAAGAGAAAAAAAGUGCGAAAAUAAAAAAGAAGAAAUUUAAGAGAAAAUAAAAAGAGAAAGUUGAGGGAGGAGGAGAGUAAGAGAAAGAGGAAGAGAGGAAGAAAGAAAAGAUCAUAUGAAAAACCCCUUCCUCAUCAAAAGAAAUAUCAUAGGAAGGAAAAGAAACUUAAGUGCUUUAUAUCUUCAAGAAAUUGGAGAUUAAAGUUCUUAUGAUUGAGACAUGGAAACAGGUGCUUGGUGUUCUCAACUUUUUGAAGAAAUUCAGCAGAAAGAAGAAAAAGAAAAGAAUAU